AUGGACUUGCUGCUCCUGCCAGGGCCAAGGCGGGAAACCACCAGGAGCCGCCGAGCCCAGCUUCUUUGGGACAAAAAGCAGCGCAGGAAUUUAAUUUCCCGGGCGAUUAACUGGCGCCUCUGGGGAUUAGCGGUGACCGCAGCCUCAUGGUCGCGUGGCCCAGCCCUUAGUCCACGAGCAGCCACGGCGCCUCGCAGGUUUCUGAUUACAAGGAAAACCCACAGCACAGCAAAGCCUGCAGGCAGAGAGCAGGCGGCCCCAGGAGUGCUGGCUGCAGCCGAGGGGGUGGCUCCUGGCGCUGCUGGGAGAGUGGCCUGGGUUUCAUUUUGGUCUCUGGAGGGAACAGCACAAAGCAACAGGCAGCAUUUGUGUGAGGAAACCCGGCCCCCGCCCCUGCCCUGCCCUGCCCCUACCCAGCCCUGCCCAGCCCAGCCCUGCCCAGCCCUGCCCCUACCCAGCCCUGCCCAGCCCAGCCCAGCCCUGCCCUGCCCCUUCCCAGCCCUGCCCUGCCCUGCCCCUGCCCCUUCCCCUGCCCAGCCCAGCCCUGCCCAGCCCUGCCCUGCCCCUUCCCAGCCCUGCCCCUACCCAGCCCUGCCCUGCCCCUUCCCAGCCCUGCCCUGCCCAGUCCAGCCCAGCCCCAGCCCCGAUUUGCCCUGCCCCUGCCCCUUCCCCUUCCCCUGCCCUGCCCAGCCCUGCCCAAUCCAGCCCCUUCCCAGCCCUGCCCAAUCCUGCCCAAUCCAGCCCCUGCCCUGUGCUCCCUGCCACCGGUUCUCGUCCAGUUCUCCCCGAGGACGGUCAUCUCCCGGGCCUUGUCCUGCCCACGUAAUCUCACGCAGUUUCCUGCAGCACAGGGCCAGGGCCCAGGCCAGCCUGGGUGAGGCUCCCGGGGGCUGCCCCCGGUUUUCUUCUGGGUUGGGUUCCAGGCUACAAGCCGCCCGCAUGGCUCCUCCUCCUGCAGGCUGGGAUUUCUCUGGGAGAGGUGGGAGCCCUUCCGGGACCAGGACCCCUGUGGAAAGAGAGGCACAGAUCCCUACGUUUGAGCUAUGUGAGGGUGUGUGCAUCACGUGUGUGCUGUAUGUGCACAUGGCAUGGGAGUGUGUGUUGUGUGUAUAUGCCGUGUCUGUGAGUGUACUUCUGCAUGCAUGUGUGCGCAUUGCGUACACGUGUUCAUGCAUGAAUUGUGUGUGUAAAGACUGUAACACACAAUGCCUGGGAUGCGCCGGGCUGGAGACCCGCCCCUCUCUGAGCUGUGCACUGUAUCUGAUGCUACAGUCGGGUCACACUCCGGCAGCGUGCUCGGAGCAUCUCCCUCACCUGUACUGUGCGCGUCUGGCCGAGCCCCUGCUGACACCUGGCCCCCGGCAGUGA
rnacentral:lncRNA from 1 species